rnacentral:rRNA from 1 species
GACGAACGCUGGCGGCGUGCUUAACACAUGCAAGUCGAACGAAGUGGCGAACGGGUGAGUAACGCGUAAUCACCCUGCCCUUCAGAGGGGGACAACAGUUGGAAACGACUGCUAAUACCGCAUACUGAUGGAUGGGAUUGCGUCUGAUUAGCUGGUUGGUGGGGUAACGGCCCACCAAGGCGAUGAUCAGUAGCCGGUCGGGGAGGGAGAACGGCCACAUUGGGACUGAGACACGGCCCAGACUCCUACGGGAGGCAGCAGUGGGGAAGCUUCCGCAAUGGACGAAAGUCUGACGGGGCAACGCCGCGGGAGUGAUGACGGCCUUCGGGUUGUAAAGCUCUGUUAAUCGGGACGCGGUAACGGAAGAGAAAGCCACGGCUAACUACGUGCCAGCAGCCGCGGUAAUUG